CGGGUGAGUAAUGCGUGACCAACCUGCCCCAUGCUCCAGAAUAGCUCUUGGAAACGGGUGGUAAUGCUGGAUGCUCCAACUUGACGCAUGUCUUGUUGGGAAAGUGUUUAGUUGCAUGGGAUGGGGUCGCGUCCUAUCAGCUUGUAGGCGGGGUAAUGGCCCACCUAGGCUUCGACGGGUAGCCGGCCUGAGAGGGCGGACGGCCACAUUGGGACUGAGAUACGGCCCAGACUCCUACGGGAGGCAGCAGGC
rnacentral:rRNA from 1 species